rnacentral:rRNA from 1 species
AUCUAAGGCCAUACCACCCUGAAUGUGCCUGAUCUCGUCUGAUCCCAGAAGCUAAGCAGGGUCGGGCCUGGUUAGUACUUGGAUGGGAGAAGAGUAAGCUUGGAAGCAAACC